GGUGACCUGCGGAGGGACAUUACACAAAUAUGAAGGCGGGCUGGAACCUCUCGGGGUUACAGCCUUGCUGAAUUAUUCACCCUUGUCUUUUGCGUACUUCUUGUUUCCUUGGUGGGUUCGCCCACCACUAGGACAAACAUAAACCUUUUGUAAUUGCAAUCAGCGUCAGUAACAAAUUAAUAAUUACAACUUUCAACAACGGAUCUCUUGGUUCUGGCAUCGAUGAAGAACGCAGCGAAAUGCGAUAAGUAGUGUGAAUUGCAGAAUUCAGUGAAUCAUCGAAUCUUUGAACGCACAUUGCGCCCUUUGGUAUUCCAAAGGGCAUGCCUGUUCGAGCGUCAUUUGUACCCUCAAGCUUUGCUUGGUGUUGGGCGUCUUGUCUCUAGCUUUGCUGGAGACUCGCCUUAAAGUAAUUGGCAGCCGGCCUACUGGUUUCGGAGCGCAGCACAAGUCGCACUCUCUAUCAGCAAAGGUCUAGCAUCCAUUAAGCCUUUUUUUCAACUUUUGACCUCGGAUCAGGUAGGGAUACCCGCUGAACUUAAGCAUAUCA
rnacentral:rRNA from 1 species